UACAGAGGUCUCAAGCGUUGUUCGGAUUCAUUGGGCGUAAAGGGUGCGUAGGCGGCGCGGUAAGUCGGAUGUGAAAGCCCCGGGCUCAACCUGGGAAUUGCAUUCGAGACUGAAUAGCUAGGGUACGGUAGAGGGAAGCGGAAUUUCCGGUGUAGCGGUGAAAUGCGUAGAUAUCGGAAGGAACAUCAGUGGCGAAAGCGGCUUCCUGGACCAGUACCGACGUUCAGGCACGAAAGCGUGGGGAGCAAACAGG
rnacentral:rRNA from 1 species